rnacentral:rRNA from 1 species
CAGCAGCCGCGGUAAUACGAAGGGUGCAAGCGUUACUCGGAAUUACUGGGCGUAAAGCGUGUGUAGGUGGUUGUUUAAGUCUGUCGUGAAAGCCCUAGGCUCAACCUGGGAAUUGCGAUGGAUACUGGGCGACUAGAGUGCGGUAGAGGAUAGUGGAAUUUCCGGUGUAGCGGUGAAAUGCGUAGAUAUCGGAAGGAACACCAGUGGCGAAGGCGGCUACCUGGACUGAGACUGACACUGAGGCGCGAGAGCGUGGGGAGCAAACAGGAUUAGAUACCCCAGUAGUCCCUGUCUCUUAUAC